rnacentral:rRNA from 1 species
UACGGGGGGAGCAAGCGUUGUUCGGAAUUACUGGGCGUAAAGGGCUCGUAGGUGGCCAACUAAGUCAGACGUGAAAUCCCUCGGCUUAACCGGGGAACUGCGUCUGAUACUGGAUGGCUUGAGAUUGGGAGAGGGACGCGGAAUUCCAGGUGUAGCGGUGAAAUGCGUAGAUAUCUGGAGGAACACCGGUGGCGAAGGCGGCGUCCUGGACCAACACUGACACUGAGGAGCGAAAGCCAGGGGAGCAAACGGG